GCUGCAGUAGCUCAGCUGGUAGAGCGUCGCCUUGGUAAGGCGGAGGUCGUGGGUUCAAGUCCCAUCUGUAGCU
rnacentral:tRNA from 1 species